rnacentral:misc_RNA from 1 species
UGGAGUAAACUGACAGAUAAGUAUAUGUGACACAUCACGCAUAUUUUGAUUUAAUCUAAAUAUAUAGACAUUUGAAUUAUUUAAUGAGUGGUGGAUUACGACAAGAAUUUCGAUGACAUUGAAUCUUGAUGAUAAAAUUAUUAUGUUAUGAUUAAAAAGUAUAUAUAGUGUUUCAAUCUGAAAGAUUGUCAAUAUGAUUGAAAUUACGGCAAAACUCGUUCGAGGCCCUGUGUAUUUUUCCGGAGAGAUUGUAGAAUGUUUGGUGACGUUUACUAAUCCUCCGAACCCAAAUCAUCAAAUAUCACAAAGUCACAGUGAUCUAUUCGAGAGCCUUGCAUGGGCGAGUGCACAAGUCCAUUGUCAAUGUACAACGAACAGCAAAAUGGUACUUUCAGAGAAAAUAAAUACUGCAGCUCGCUCAGUAGCAAUUAACGCAAAUACCACCUUUGCACCAUGGCAACAGGACAAUGGACAUGUAGUGCUGAAUACAAAGCCGAAAAUCUUAUGUUGUGAUUUAAGACUGUCACCUGGAGAAAGUAAGACUUAUAUUUAUCGUGAAACAAUACCAAGUGACGCUCCACCUUCAUACAGAGGACAAGCUGUAAAAUAUUCUUAUAAGAUUACAAUUGGAACACAAAGAGUGAAUACAGUUAUAAAAUUGUUACGAGUACCAUUCAGAGUACUUUCUUUAAGUGAAUUACCAGAGAUAACAGCAUGCAAUGAUAGUGUGGAUCUGAGUCCGAACAAUCCAUUUAUGGAAACACAACAUAGGGAAACUCCACUAGAUAUUGCUCUACAAACAUUGCAGAAUUUAACAGCCAGACGCAGUCCAAACUUUUACAAUGUGACAAACGGCCGCGGACGCGUAGUACGAUUUUGCCUCUUUAAGAAUUCCUACAAACUCGGUGAGGACAUUGUUGGAACCUUCGACUUUUCGAAUGCGACUGUAUCCUGCGUUCAGGUAUCCGUGUCUCUACAGUCAGAAGAGCACGUGUCGGAGGAGUACAAACGGGGGAAGAUCGCAACGCCGACAUUGAUCAGCUACAACAAGCAUCACGAAAUGUGUCUCGGUCUCAAGUAUUCACACCUGGUGCUACCGAUACCUUUGCACGUUACGCCAGAUUUUACUACCAAUUUGGUGACACUCAAGUGGCGAUUGCAUUUCGAGUUCGUCACAACGCCGAAACUGAUGGAUAUGCCCAAUGAGAAUACUAUAAGUUGGCAUGGACCGUCGACUCUGGAUGUCGAAACGAUGAUUUGGGAUCUUCCGUUGCACAUUCAUCCGACCACUACUCCACCGAAUAUGCCGCAACAGACGAAAUACAACACCAUCAUAUAGGAAUGCGACUGAACGAUGCGCAGUAUUUUCGAUUGCCUUUGCCGCACACGCGUAAGAAGAUGACGAUAAUACGUGUAAUGCCGCACAUCGUAGACAUGAAUUGCUCUUAUAUAAUUCAGAAUUCGACUACGAGUCCGAAUGCCGGACUUGAAAUAACGUCUCGAUGUCGCGGCAAGACUUUGGAAUCGAAACAGAGUUCUGUCGAAAUAGCGCUCGUGACAUGCAACGGCUUCGAAAGCAUUGAUCAAAUUAAGGAAGGACGUCAGGACAUUUGCAUAGAGACCGAAGCUAUCAAGGUUUCCAACAAUUCAUCGUUCUUAACGUGGCAAAAAGAUAGUCUAUCGAUGGUUCCGAACGAUUCCAAGAAAUUCGCAGAUUUUCCGCAAGUCGAAGAUGAUUGUCGGGAAAUCAUAUGGAAUUCGGAAGAAUUGCGAAACCAGGUGGAGCGC